UGAACGUGCAUACUAUGACUAUCGGUAGUAUUUUCAAGGAGUUCUCCAACAUGUCUGCAAAAAGCGUCAAGACAUUAUAGUAUAAUUUUUUGAUAUUUACGUCGUCCAAAUAACCGAAGUCUACUUCCGUAUAUUGGUUUUUUUUAUAGUUGGUGAUCUACUGUCCAAUUUUUUACCGUGCAUUACUAUAUAUUAUGCAUUACUUUAUUAUAAACUUACGCUAUCCACGAAGAUCGUGAUUAAUAGCCAUCCAAGCGUCAUUGGAAUUGCGAGCAACAGUAGGAACUUCUUGCGGCCGAUUGUCCGGGAUAUCUGGCCGGCCGGAAGUGCACCCAGGAGCGCGCCAAUCAGGUAAAUGGAAACGACCCAUGACGAUAUAUCCAUGGUUUCCAUCUCGAACAUCAUCUCUCCAAUGGAUUCGGGAUGCUGUGGGGCCGUCCAGCCACCAACCACGGUCCCCGAAGCAAACGACAUCACGGAAGC